rnacentral:rRNA from 1 species
AGGUGCUGCAUGGUUGUCGUCAGCUCGUGUCGUGAGAUGUUGGGUUAAGUCCCGCAACGAGCGCAACCCCCUGUCCUGUGUUGCUACUCCGCAAGGAGAGGACUCUCAGGAGACUGCCGUGGAUAACACGGAGGAAGGUGGGGAUGACGUCAAAUCAUCAUGGCCUUUAUGUCCAGGGCUACACACGUGAUACAAUGGUACAGACAGAGGGCUGCAAGACCGUAAGGUGGAGCCAAUCCCUAAACUGUAUCCCAGUUCAGAUCGAGGGCUGCAAUUCGCCCUCGUGAAGUUGGAAUCGCUAGUAAUCGCAGAUCAGCAGGCUGCGGUGAAUACGUUCCCGGGCCUU